GGCUGGUCCAAUGGCAGUGGGUUAUCAGAACUUAUUAACAUUAGUGUCACUAAAGUUGGUAUACCACCCCCCCACUGCUAAAUUUGACUGGCUUAAA
ensembl:misc_RNA Y_RNA Y RNA